ensembl:lncRNA
UGGGGAAGCGGCUGGCUGUGAAGUAGAGCCAUUUCAAGAAGGGAAUCAGCAACCCACAGGCCAAGCUAUUUAUGAUGCCCCUGCUAUUCACAGGUAAUUUAUUGUGAGCUUGAGAGCCUGCUGCCUGCAUCGCUUCAGCAUUCAUGAAGCCAAAUCUCAGUGUCUCAGCGGAGCUGGCUCCUGGAGCUGCGGGGCUGUUUGUUCUGAAGGCAGCAGAAGGCCACGUUUCCUCUGGUAGAUGUUAACCAUCUAGUUUCCACCCUGUGAUCGCCUCACCUCAUGUUUGAUUUUUUUUUCUCUCCUAAAUUCUAAUCAUCAGGGGGAAAAAAAAGUCUCCCAGGGCCUUGCUUCAUUUGCAUGGUGGUCCAGAGACCAAUAUCUACCUGUGAAAUCUGUGGUACCUAUCCUAGCCCUGCUGGGGGACAGUGCCUUUUCACAAGAUCCUACAUGUGCACCCACAGAGCGGCAUGAACCCUAUCCCCACAUGAGUUCUGAUGGGCUGGGGAGGACGGAGCACAGGGCUGCUUCCCAUCAAGUGUUCAAUACCAAAGAGCUUCUGUGUGGUGACCCUCAUGUGACAUUUUUGCUGUGAAAUAGUCACACUACCUCUGCCCUAAGGUGCAAGAUGCCUCGCUACAGCCUACCUUGGAGGUCACAGUCAUUUUUAACAGGCUACCUCUCCCUUCUGCCUGCCAGUCAAGUCUACCAUCCCUGCCACAGUAGGAGGGAUUGAGCAAAGAGUUUAUUAGGUCAAUCCCCACCCCAACAUCUCUGUUCCUUUAAGGAUGCCCUGCUGUGAUCUCCUGCCCAGAGGUAAACCACUGCCUCAGUGCCUCCUGAGUCCCUCAUGGAGUGGCCUUGUGAACCCAUCUGACACAACCUAAGGCCACCUGGGAAGAGAAGCCAGGAACUAGUAGAUUGAUUAUAAGACACACUUUCACAGGAAGACAGGACAGAAGUAAAGGGAAUGAAAAGUGGGCCAUAGCAGCCACAAAAAGCAGAGAUUCCUGGAAGACACCUGACAGAACAAUACUUUUUACAAUCUAGUGUGGACACACGGACACACAUCACCCAGUGCAGUACACAUCAGGGAGGCCCAAACUCUGAUCUAACAAGCUCCAAGGACCUCGCUUUGACCCCAGGAUUCCAGAUGACAUACCUGAACCAUCUGUUUUUAUAAGCUGAAGCCAAAAAUGAAGGGGCAGGAGUGUCAGUGUAAGAAAUGAGAUAGUCUAAAGCAGGGCCUGUAACUCCUGUGCACAGAACUUUUCAAGAGAAUCAUUAAAAUGGACACAGGUCAGUGUGUCCUCUUUCUUCACAGCCAGCUUUGGGUAAGGUGUCACUUGUAGACAUUGCUCAGUUUAGAGGCCUAAUAUGUGAUACAAAGAACUCAAUGCCUCCAGAGGAAUGGAUUCACCUGCAUGAACCUGAAAAAAAAAAAUCUAGGACUCUUAAAAAGGGACUCUCAGGACCAUAGAAAAUGACUCAUUGCGUAACACUCUGCAACACUGUACAGCCUUCCUAACCCAGAAUGCAAGUUACUCGUCUUGUUUCUGUGAUAAGAUACUUGACUGGAGCAGCUUAAGCGAAGAGCUACUUCAUUUGGCUCGAAACUGAAGGGGCACAGUUCACAGUGACAAGGAAGGCAAGGCUUCAGAUGCAGUUAUGGCUGUGGCUGUGGAAUUGAAGGGUGCUUGCUCACAUCUAGGCAGAUCAGGAGGUGGUACCCAGCAAUAAAUCUCAUGGCCUGCCUCCCUGACUUCUCCUC